rnacentral:rRNA from 1 species
AUGAACGCUGGCGGCGUGCCUAAUACAUGCCAGUCGAGCGAACAGACGAGGAGCUUGCUCCUCUGACGUUAGCGGCGGACGGGUGAGUAAUACGUGGAUAACCUACCUAUAAGACUGGGAUAACUUCGGGAAACCGGAGCUAAUACCGGAUAACAUGUUGAACCGCAUGGUUCAACAGUGAAAGACGGUCUUGCUGUCACUUAUAGAUGGAUCCGCGCCGCAUUAGCUAGUUGGUAAGGUAACGGCUUACCAAGGCAACGAUGCGUAGCCGACCUGAGAGGGUGAUCGGCCACACUGGAACUGAGACACGGUCCAGACUCCUACGGGAGGCAGCAGUAGGGAAUCUUCCGCAAUGGGCGAAAUCCUGACGGAGCAACGCCGCGUGAGUGAAGAAGGUCUUCGGAUCGUAAAACUCUGUUAUUAGGGAAGAACAAAUGUGUAAGUAACUAUGCACGUCUUGACGGUACCUAAUCAGAAAGCCACGGCUAACUACGUG